UCCAGACUCCUACGGGAGGCAGCAGUGGGGAAUAUUGCACAAUGGGGGAAACCCUGAUGCAGCGACGCCGCGUGAGCGAUGAAGUAUUUCGGUAUGUAAAGCUCUAUCAGCAGGGAAGAAAGAAAUGACGGUACCUGACUAAGAAGCCCCGGCUAACUACGUGCCAGCAGCCGCGGUAAUACGUAGGGGGCAAGCGUUAUCCGGAUUUACUGGGUGUAAAGGGAGCGUAGACGGCGAUGCAAGUCUGAAGUGAGAGGCGGGGGCCCAACCCCCGGACUGCUUUGGAAACUGUAUGGCUGGAGUGCAGGAGAGGUAAGUGGAAUUCCUAGUGUAGCGGUGAAAUGCGUAGAUAUUAGGAGGAACACCAGUGGCGAAGGCGGCUUACUGGACUGUAACUGACGUUGAGGCUCGAAAGCGUGGGGAGCAAACAGGAUUAGAUACCCUGGUAUU
rnacentral:rRNA from 1 species